rnacentral:lncRNA from 1 species
AAGAUUGAGCUUUUCCUUGGCCAUCUUACGAUAUCUGUACCUUCCUGUUCCCAUCUCAGGGCCUGGCAGAGAAUAGGUGUUUAACAGCAUAUAAUGGACAAUGCAGUUACUGGAAGUCUGAAUACAGACGGAAGUUCUGGUUUAGUCCUGACUAGUUCUUUGACCCACAACCUAAACUAAUAGAUGUGUGCAUGUGUUCCAUGUGGUGGAGGAAGCAAGGCCAUCUGUUGCUUCUCCGCAGCCCUACCACCCCAUCCUGGAAAAUCCCUGUCACUGCCCUCAAGGUAAUAGGUUGAUGAUACAGUGGUCACUAAGCAAAGCCACUGAAGCAGCCUUCAAGCAAACCCAACAAUCAGGAAAACAGCUAAAAGCUGGCAUUGUCUCAUGGGUUUUAUCUUGUUCUAUUCAUCUCAGGUCUCCAAAAUUUAGAAGCUGGCUGCCACUUGCUGAACGUCAAUUUUCUCAGCAGUAAAGUGAGGACAAUGACAGCUACUUCAGAGACUGUUUGAGAACUCACAUGGGAGCAAUGCAUAUAGAAAGCCAAAGCACAGGCCACACAGCCAUAACACAACCUUUAUGUGUGGUCUCUGCAGCCACUGCAAUGGUUAUCAUGCCAAUAGCCUAUGAUUCCAUCAUGAGAAACACGCAGGACAUAAGCGAUUGCCACUUAGACAUCUCUGCCCCAAGGAGAGGCCAUUUCUUCCUAUUCUUUGUUUCCCACCUUUGAGCCAUGGUGCCUAGGUGACCAUGUCACUAGAGACACAGGGGAUACAGAGAAGGUGGAUCCCAGGGCACUUUGGCCUGUUUCUCAGGAUGCUGAGUCACAGACUGUCCCCCUGGAUUUCAGGCUGAGAGACAAGGAACCCUUAAACCUGGGGUUUUCGUGUCUCUCUCUAUCCUUUAAUCCAACAGAACCAGGGAGGCAUUAAGUGGGUCAGGCAUCUACAGUAAAGGUGAGGAAAGAAAGAUGGGAGGUGACUCAUGUUCAGAAGAUGUGAUGCUGCCCACUGUGAAGGUCCCAGCUGACCCCUGCAGUGUGCCCUCUGCACAGACCUUGCAAAGCUUGCACGUGGGGUGCCUGCCAGUCAUCUUCGGUUCCCUGGUUCCGUCGUGGGGCCUCUGAGGACUCCGCCUAACCAUGCUUUCAGUCCCUGCCACUUUAAAUCAAGGAUUUGAAAGGUAGCUUCUAGGAGUUUUUUGCAUCUUUGGGAAUGGAAAUGACAUUGAGGUAGACCUCAAAGAUUUCUUCCAUUUCCAGUGUGGUGACAUGGUUGGCGAAUUGCCUGCAUGUGAAAACAUGCAGUGGGUGGAAUAAUACGGGGUCAACUAGGGCCAUUAAUGGAUCCAAGCAAAGGGCUGGGGCAUCUUCGGUUCCGUCACAGGGCAGUGAAGGCAGGGAAAGGUGGAAGCAAAUACUGAACCACAGCCUCUAGUUCAUGGGCCCUUGCACAACUCAGAUCUCAGCCAAGGCCCUGGAGUGAUCAUGGAAUCUCAUUGGAGGAGCAAGAUCCUAAAAAAAGUCGUCUCCCCAGUUGCCACUGAAGGCUGAAAGCUACCCUGCCCACCUUCCUCACCUGGUGGCUUCCAGGCUCUGAUCGCCUCCAGGUCUGCAACUCUACUCUCAAAGUAUCAGGAAGGGAGUCUGUGCUGAUCCCUCUGACAGCAGGUCCCAGGUCACCUCCCCAAAUAAGCCUGCUGGUCCACCUUCCAGGUCACUGUCUACUACGUUCCCCUAGACUGUCUUUGCAGAGCCAUACUGGGGGCUGUACUACACAUGGGGGUGACCCGCUAUGACGUCAUGGAGCUUAUUCACUGCCUUGCACAGGCAGAGCUGGAGAACUUCUUUAGCUAACCUGCGGAAAAUGGAUUUGGAGGAAAGUGAAAACUUUGCUACUUCCACAACCUUCAGCUCAUGGAGGAGUGGAAAGUUGCUGCUCAGAAUCCUGUGAGGGUACAUAGUGACAACAGAGACACUGCCAACUACGAAGAUGGCAACUCUACACAUAACGGCAGCACUGACGGCAUGAAGGACCAGUGAACCAGUGUCCUUCCCAGCAGGAUAAAGAAGGGACACACUUUAAGCUAGUUGAAGGCAGUUUCCUAAUCUAUGGGGGGAAAUGAGUCAAAUAUCACUCUGACUUUUUCACACUGGAUGAAGAGGGAAUGGCCCCUUUGUUAGGAGUAGAAGAUUUGGGGAGGAGAUGAACUGAGUCUUAUAAAUGCACUUUCUUCCCUUUGGCUGGCAGGUCCAUGACUCAGGGAGAGAUGGGGGCUGGAGACAUGGGUUUAGGAGUUAUCUGUAGAGUCCUGUGGUUGAGGUCUUGGAAAUUAAGGAAAUUGCCGCAACAGAGAGACAGGAGUUGAAUGGAGCAGGGGAGGAGUCCUGGAGAUCAAGGCAGUGCAGAAAUGGUCAAAACAGUCAAAGCAGGGAGUUCCUGUUGUGGCUCGAUGGUAAUGAACCCAACUAGCAUCCAUGAGGAUGCAGAUUCAAUUCCUGGCCUUGCUCAGUGGGUUUAGGAUCCGGCAUUGCCGUUAGCUGUGGUGUAGGUCACAAAUGCAGCUCGGAUCUGGCAGUUGCUGUGGCUGUGGUGUAGGCCAGCAGCUGCAGCUCCAAUUCGACCCCUAGCCUGGGAACCUCCAUGUGCUGCAAGCACUGGCCCUAAAAAGCAAAAAACAAAACAAAACAGUCAAAGCAGGCAUACUGGGAGAUCCAUGUUAAGAGAGGGGAGUUUGAGAUGUGAGGUAGCCCCUGCCAAGGGGGAUUAAAGAUGAGGAAAAGGAUGGAGUUCCCUGGUGGCUCAGGGGGUAAGGAUCCAGCUUUGUCCCUGGUAUGGCUUGGGCUUAAUCCCUGGCCUGAAAAGGCUGAGAACACCUUGGGAUUAUUGGUUGGAGACAUUGCCUCUAUGCAAAUCCCAUUUGCUGCUGUCAAUAGAGAGUCUGUCCCAAAGAGGCCAUUUCUGAGAAACAGAUUCAAGAUACAAACAACAUUUCUUUCUGUAGAAUUGGUUCAUAGAAACAGAACAUUGGUCUCCUUUGCAGGUGACAAUUUAGGACCAAUAUUUAUUCUUUGCAAUGUUUGUUCUCUAUUUCUUGGGACAGAAAAACAUGCUGCUAACAUCAACAGCCUAAAAAAAAAUUAAAAAGCCUUGUUCCACUGGGAGUCAAUCUUUUAAAAAAUUCUUAACAUCUGUAUGGAGUCUAUCUAUGCCCAUAUGCAUGGCGAGAGAUAUCAGAUUAUGUCUGAGAGAUGCAGAUAGAAUUUAAUGCUCAUUUAUUUCAGUUUCGCCUGUUUCCAGACUGCUUCACAAGUGCACUGUUUCAAGAGAUGAGAAUUCAAUUAGUCUGUUCUGACUCUCACAUAGACAAUGUCCAGCUCAAGCUAAGACAUAUCAAAUAUUUAUUCACUCCCAGGAUUUCAAUAAUCCAGCCUCCGCCCUCCUCCUCCUGCUGGCCUCAUCUGGCCGGCACUGUGCUUCAACCUGGGCAAAGAGUGCGGAUCACCGGAAUCAAAGCUGAUGUCAAUACAUCUGUAUGUUUGUACAAGAUGUGGAACAACCUUGCCAAACGGAAGCGAUGGUUUAUAAGUGUUAGACGUGGGAUUUGAGAGGAAAAAUCUUGUUGUACUUCAUGAAUGGAUUUGCCUUUUUUUAAAUGUUUUUCUUUAUAGGGCCACACCUGUGGCAUAUGGAAGAUCCCAGGCUAGGGGUCGAAUCAGAGCCACAGCGGAAGACUAUGCCACAGCCACAGCCACACCAGAUCUGAGCCACAUCUGCGACCUACACCACAGCUUCCAGCCAGAGAUCGAACCUGCAUCCUCACACCCACCAUGUCAGGUUCUUAACCUGCUGGGCCAAAAUGAGAACUUCUGGAUUUGCCUUUUAAUCUCUGACCUUUGGCUUUGGGAUGAACAAUGAUGCUUGUGACCGAAACGUUGGGGUGAGCUUAGAGGGAUGAGCUCUCACUCCCACCCCAUCCUCAGCAUCAAGGAGGCCAGGCAGUACUGGAAGGGACCCAGGAAAAGAGUGACAUUUUCAGGGAGGAAGGUUAUUCACAGAGCCUGGUGCAGUGCUCAGGAGAAGCUGCACGCAUCUCUAACUUGGCCAUGUCAUUAAUUCACACCAUCCUUCUUAUUCCUACUCAACCAGGGUUCUGAACUUCAGCCCUAUGAACAUUUGGAGCCAGGUAUGUCUUUGUGGUGGGGGACUUCCCUGUCCACUAUAGGAUGUUUCGAAGCAUCCCUGGCUAGAUGCUAAUAGCACCCUCCUUAUUGCAACAACCAAAAAUGUCUCCAGAUAGUGUCAAAUACCCCCUGGGCAGGGGCAAAAUGGCCCUUGGUUGAGAGGCAUGGCACUAAAUAAUCCACGGGACCAAGGCUGGCUUUGAACAACUCACACCUGAAGUCAGUAGUGCUAGAGGCUUUCAGCAUCUGUUUUCUCACUCUGGUGUCUCCCCAUCUCUUCCCACCCCUUAGGAGACCCCAAGCAUGGUUCAACCAUCUACCCAACCGAUCUUAGCUUCUGCCACUACAGACUGGGCAGCAUUUCCUCAUUUCAGAUGGUUUGAUGGCUCUAGAGUCUAGGAUCAGAAAAGGCUACCUUCCCCGCUGACAAUUUUAAUGCGAUAUCUAACAUCUCAUUGGACAGCUCCAAGGCUGAACCCUUUUCCUGCCACCCACCUGCACCCCUGCCUGGAGAUAAGGGUGUUUAAGGGGAAACCUUUCCUGUGCCAGGCAUGUCCACUGGAUCCUUGUUUGAGCUGAUACCCUUUGUCCAUCUGCUCAGCUUCAAAACCACAGAUCUGUUGGGUGAGAGGGAUUCAAGGAAAACACAGCAAAGGGUGAAGCCUCCGUGUCUUAGUAGGUGGAAGAAGAGCCUCCAGGGAUGAUUUACUUACCCACCUGCUGUAAAUAAAGGCAGAGCUGUGAUCACAGGAGAUAUGAAAUGCUUCGCCUCAGGGGAUCUGCAAGGUCCAGAGCCUCUGGUAGUACAGCUCCCUGGAGCAGAAACUUCCUCUGUGAACUCAGCACCUACUGAUGCAGGCAGGACUACCCAUCACUUAUUCCAUCUCUAAGUCUCUAUUUCUCAUCUAGUAAAAAGUGAUUUCUGAGAAAGCUGAACUUUGCUGAUUCUACUUCUAAAAUGUCUCUUCCAUCCCUACAAUACCUGAUGUAGUUCAGCCUUCAGCUUCAUUAG